UACGGGGGGGGCAAGCGUUGUUCGGAAUUACUGGGCGUAAAGGGCUCGUAGGCGGCCAACUAAGUCGGACGUGAAAUCCCUCGGCUCAACCGGGGAACUGCGUCCGAUACUGGAUGGCUUGAGUUCGGGAGAGGGAUGCGGAAUUCCAGGUGUAGCGGUGAAAUGCGUAGAUAUCUGGAGGAACACCGGUGGCGAAGGCGGCAUCCUGGACCGAUACUGACGCUGAGGAGCGAAAGCCAGGGGAGCAAACGGGG
rnacentral:rRNA from 1 species